AAUACCCUGCAUACUUUUAUUUGAGGUUAUUAUUAUUUUAUUUAUUUUAAAGAUAAUUGAUGGGCCAUAGGUAUUCUUUUUAUUAGUAAUUGCAGCCCACUAACCCACAAAGCCCACAUCUCUAAUACAAACUACAGGGUAGAGGAAGAGAUAAUCAAGGUUUUCAUAGGAAGGGUUUUAUCAAAGAGGCUAAGAGGUAUUUUUUCCUUGGAGUUAAUUGAAGAGGCAGCUGAUUGUUUCAGAGCUUACGGAGGAUUAAAGUGUUCAACUGUGUUCAGAAGUAUUAGCAAGAGAGAUUAAAGUAUAGUUGGAAACAUAGAACCUUUGGGGUUGUUUUGUAAGGUGCAAGGUAGAGCAUGGAAGCUGUAGGCAACUUCAGUAUGCAUUGAGGACUUAUAGAAUUUUAGCUACCUUAUUUUGUAAUUCCUGUUUUGUGGAGAUUAUUUCCCAUUUGUGGAGUUUAGACUCUUUUUUGUAAGAGGUUUUUAACAGUAUUAUUUUUGGAGGAUUGAUUUAUUUUGGAUUAAUUAUGUUUAUGGAUUUGUAUAAGUUUAGCUGGUUGUCAUGCAUCUAAAUUCAUUUUCUAUGGAUUUGGGUCG